UACGUAGGGUGCAAGCGUUGUCCGGAAUUAUUGGGCGUAAAGAGCUCGUAGGCGGUUUGUCGCGUCUGCUGUGAAAACCCGAGGCUCAACCUCGGGCCUGCAGUGGGUACGGGCAGACUAGAGUGCGGUAGGGGAGAUUGGAAUUCCUGGUGUAGCGGUGGAAUGCGCAGAUAUCAGGAGGAAUACCGAUGGCGAAGGCAGGUCUCUGGGCUAUAACUGACGCUCAUGCACGAAAGCGUGGGAAGCAAACAGG
rnacentral:rRNA from 1 species